UACGGAGGGUGCAAGCGUUAUCCGGAUUCACUGGGUUUAAAGGGUGCGUAGGUGGGCUAGUAAGUCCGUGGUGAAAUCUCCAAGCUUAACUUGGAAACUGCCGUGGAUACUAUUAGUCUUGAAUAUUGUGGAGGUAAGCGGAAUAUGUCAUGUAGCGGUGAAAUGCUUAGAGAUGACAUAGAACACCUAUUGCGAAGGCAGCUUACUACGCAGAUAUUGACGCUCAUGCACGAAAGCGUGGGGAUCAAACAGG
rnacentral:rRNA from 1 species